CAACAGCGUAUAUUAAAGUUGUUGCAGUUAAAAAGCUCGUAGUUGGAUUUCUGAUCGAGACAUCAGGUCGGGUCCGAGAGGAUCAUGUACUUUGAUUUUGUUUUGAUCAUCCUUGGGGAGAGCAUUUCUGGCAUUCAGUUGUCGGGAUUGGGAUCCUCAUCGUUUACUGUGAAAAAAUUAGAGUGUUCAAAGCAGGCCUCGGCCUCUGAAUACAUUAGCAUGGAAUAAUAAGAUAGGACUUUGGUGGUCUAUUUUGUUGGUUUGCACGCCAAAGUAAUGAUUAAUAGGGAUAGUUGGGGGUAUUCGUAUUCAAUUGUCAGAGGUGAAAUUCUUGGAUUUAUGGAAGACGAACUACUGCGAAAGCAUUUACCAAGGAUGUUUUCAUUAA
rnacentral:rRNA from 1 species